rnacentral:rRNA from 1 species
AGAGUUUGAUCCUGGCUCAGGACGAACGCUGGCGGCGUGCCUAACACAUGCAAGUCGAGCGGAGAAUAUAGCAAUAUAUUCUUAGCGGCGGACGGGUGAGUAACGCGUGGGUAACCUGCCUUGUACAGGGGGAUAACACAGGGAAACUUGUGCUAAUACCGCAUAACACAGUUGAUUGGCAUCAAUUGACUGUCAAAGGAGCAAUCCGGUAUAAGAUGGACCCGCGUCCAAUUAGCUAGUUGGUGAUGUAACGGACCACCAAGGCGACNAUUGGUAGCCGAACUGAGAGGUUGAUCGGCCACAUUGGGACUGAGACACGGCCCANACUCCUACGGGAGGCAGCAGUGGGGAAUAUUGCGCAAUGGGGGAAACCCUGACGCAGCAACGCCGCGUGAAGGAUGAAGGUUUUCGGAUCGUAAACUUCUUUGAUGAGGGAAGAAUAAUGACGGUACCUCAAAAACAAGCCACGGCUAACUACGUGCCAGCAGCCGCGGUAAUACGUAGGUGGCGAGCGUUGUCCGGAAUUACUGGGUGUAAAGGGCGUGUAGGCGGGAAUGCAAGUCAGAUGUGAAACUCCGGGGCUUAACUUCGGAACUGCAUCUGAAACUGUGUUUCUUGAGUGCUGGAGAGGAAAGCGGAAUUCCUAGUGUAGCGGUGAAAUGCGUAGAUAUUAGGAGGAACACCAGUGGCGAAGGCGGCUUUCUGGACAGUAACUGACGCUGAGGCGCGAAAGCGUGGGGAGCAAACAGGAUUAGAUACCCUGGUAGUCCACGCUGUAAACGAUGGAUACUAGGUGUGGGAGGUAUCGACCCCUUCCGUGCCGCAGUUAACACAAUAAGUAUCCCACCUGGGGAGUACGGCCGCAAGGUUGAAACUUAAAGGAAUUGACGG